CCAACGGCAUAGCUGGGUAGCUAUGUAUGGACGGGAUAAGUGCUGAAAGCAUCUAAGCAUGAAGCCCCCCUCAAGAUGAGAUUUCCCAACUUCGGUUAUAAGAUCCCUCGAAGAUGACGAGGUUAAUAGGUUCGAGGUGGAAGCGUGGUGACACGUGGAGCUGACGAAUACUAAUCGAUCGAAGACUUAAUCAA
rnacentral:rRNA from 1 species